AUUAGAUACCCUGGUAGUCCGCACGGUAAACGAUGGAUGCCCGCCGUUGGGUAUUUUUAUUCAGUGGCCAAGCGAAAGCGUUAAGCAUCCCACCUGGGGAGUACGCCGGCAACGGUGAAACUCAAAGGAAUUGACGGGGGCCCGCACAAGCGGAGGAACAUGUGGUUUAAUUCGAUGAUACGCGAGGAACCUUACCCGGGCUUGAAUUGCAGAUGACGGAUCCAGAGAUGGUGACUUCCUUCGGGACAUCUGUGAAGGUGCUGCAUGGUUGUCGUCAGCUCGUGCCGUGAGGUGUCGGCUUAAGUGCCAUAACGAGCGCAACCCCUUUCGUCAGUUGCCAUCGGGUAAUGCCGGGCACUCUGGCGACACUGCCGCCGCAAGGUGUGAGGAAGGUGGGGAUGACGUCAAAUCAGCACGGCCCUUACGUCCGGGGCUACACACGUGUUACAAUGGGGCAUACAGAGAGUUGGUCAUGCGCAAGCAUGAUCGGAUCAUGAAAGUGUCCCUCAGUUCGGACUGGGGUCUGCAACCCGACCCCACGAAGCUGGAUUCGCUAGUAAUCGCGCAUCAGCCAUGGCGCGGUGAAUACGUUCCCGGGCCUUGUACACACCGCCCGUCAAGCCAUGAAAGCCGGGGGCGCCUGAAGUCCGUGACCGCGAGAGUCGGCCUAGGGUGAAACCGGUGAUUGGGGCUAAGUCGUAACAAGGUACC
rnacentral:rRNA from 1 species